rnacentral:rRNA from 1 species
GGGGAAUAUUGCACAAUGGGCGCAAGCCUGAUGCAGCGACGCCGCGUGGGGGAUGAAGGCCUUCGGGUUGUAAACUCCUUUCGCUAGGGACGAAGCUUUUUGGUGACGGUACCUAGAUAAGAAGCACCGGCUAACUACGUGCCUGCAGCCGCGGUAAUACGUAGGGUGCGAGCGUUGUCCGGAAUUACUGGGCGUAAAGGGCUCGUAGGUGGUUUGUCGCGUCGUCUGUGAAAUUCUGGGGCUUAACUCCGGGCGUGCAGGCGAUACGGGCAUAACUUGAGUGCUGUAGGGGUAACUGGAAUUCCUGGUGUAGCGGUGAAAUGCGCAGAUAUCAGGAGGAACACCGAUGGCGAAGGCAGGUUACUGGGCAGUUACUGACGCUGAGGAGCGAAAGCAUGGGUAGCGAACAGGAUUAGAUACCCUGGUAGUCCAUGCCGUAAACGGUGGGCGCUAGGUGUGAGGGUCUUUCUACGACUUUCGUGCCGUAGCUAACGCAUUAAGCGCCCCGCCUGGGGAGUACGGCCGCAAGGCUA